rnacentral:rRNA from 1 species
CGCGUAGGCGGGACUGUAAGUCAGAUGUGAAAUUUCAGGGCUCAACCCUGAAACUGCAUUUGAAACUGCGGUUCUUGAGUGAUGGAGAGGCAGGCGGAAUUCCCGGUGUAGCGGUGGAAUGCGUAAAUAUCGGGAGGAACACCAGUGGCGAAGGCGGCCUGCUGGACAUUAACUGACGCUGAGGCGCGAAAGCGUGGGGAGCAAACAGGAUUAGAUACCCUGGUAGUCCACGCUGUAAACGAUGGAUACUAGGUGUGGGGGGGUCUGACCCUUUCCGUGCCGCAGUUAACACAAUAAGUAUCCCACCUGGGGAGUACGGCCGCAAGGUUGAA